rnacentral:rRNA from 1 species
ACUCAAAUGAAUAGACGGGGGCCCGCACAAGCAGCGGAGCGUGUGGUUUAAUUCGAGGCUACACGAAGAACCUUACCUGGAUUGGACAUGGGGGUGAACGAGGGUGAAAGCCUGAGGUUCGCAAGACACCUCCACAGGUGCUGCAUGGCUGUCGUCAGCUCGUGUCGUGAGAUGUUAGGUUAAGUCCUGUAACGAGCGCAACCCUCGGGGUCAGUUACACGUAGUCUGGCCCGACUGCCCGUGCAAACGGGAGGAAGGUGGGGAUGAUGUCAAGUCAGCAUGGCCUUUAUGUCCAGGGCUACACACACGCUACAAUGGUCGACACAAUCGGUUGCAAAGCGGUAACGCGAAGCCAAUCCUCUAAAGUCGAUCUCAGUUCAGAUUGAGGGCUGCAACCCGCCCUCAUGAAGUCGGAGUUGCUAGUAACCGCGCGUCAGCCAUAGUGCGGUGAAUACGUUCCCGGGCCUUGCACACACCGCCCGU